rnacentral:rRNA from 1 species
UACGUAGGGAGCAAGCGUUGUCCGGAAUCAUUGGGCGUAAAGCGCGCGUAGGUGGCUUCGUAAGUCCGUUGUGAAAGUCAAAGGCUCAACCUUUGAAAGCCGAUGGAUACUGUGAAGCUAGAGUACGGAAGAGGCGAGUGGAAUUCCUGGUGUAGCGGUGAAAUGCGUAGAUAUCAUUUGGAACGCCAAUGGUGAAAACAGGUAGCUGGGGCUGUGCUGACGCUGAGACACGAAAGCCAGGGGAGCAAACGGG